AAAGCUCUGAAGUCCUCUGAAGUAUCUGAAUCAGUCAAACUAACACGAAAAAAUGGCAAAAUCUCUUAUCAUCUUCUCCUUCUUCUUCAUCUCUAUCAUCUCUGCAAGAACUUUCUCUGAAAACCCUAAUACCACUACCAAGAAACUUCUAACAGCACAUGAAGAACUUCAAAACAAUGGAUUUCCAAUUGGAUUACUUCCAACAAACGUUUUAACCUAUUCUCUCAACAAAACUUCAGGUGAUUUUCAUGUAAAUCUUGGAGAUACUUGCAAAUUAUUGCUUCCUCCAGAUAACUAUUUAGCUAUUUAUUCGAAAAAAAUUACUGGUAAAUUGAUUGAAGGUAAGAUUGCUGAAUUGAAAGGAAUUCGAGUUAAAGCUUUUUAUCAAUGGUGGUCAAUUACUGGUAUUAGAUCUAGUGGUGAGAAUUUGGUUUUUGAAGUUGGUAUGAUUACUGCUAAAUAUCCUUCAAAGAAUUUCGAUGAAAGUCCUGCUUGUCAAGGUCAACGUUCCUCUUCUUAAGAGGUUUGUUUUUCAACUUUUUUCCUUUUAAAGUUGUGAUUUUGAUGGUUUAUAGUGUAAUUAUGUGUUUUAGAUGGAGUAUUGAAUUGAUUAGAGAUUAUUAGAUUGGUUGGGUUGUCUGCAUCAUUUAGUAUGCUAGUUAUUGAUUUGUGCCUUUUAAUUGUUAAUUAAAGUUCAACCUUCAAUUCAAAUUAUAAUAUUAUUUGAGGUGAAUUUAUCACACUUUUGUUCUUGUUGGUGCUCGGAGUCUUUUAAGCCUGAUAAAGUUUAAGUAGCAUAUUUUAUUAGAUUGUGAUGUAGACUUUUGUUGUUUGAUUAUGGUGAUGCAUUAAGCCAAUACAUAAGUUAAAAUUUUAAUCAAGUUGAUUGAAAGUAAUCUGUCUUCUUGGGUUUGUCACUUAAGUUGUACACUGCUGUAUAUUUCAUCUUUCUUUUUAGUAAUCUAGAAAGAACCCUGGUUAUUUAGAUUUGAAGAUCUUAUGUUCCCAAUAGAUCUUUUCUGUGUUGUUUGUUAUCCACCAGUAGUGAGAAUUUUGGCCAUGCUGUAAUUUUGAAUCUGAAUUUAGCUGAUUACUUGAUCUAAAGCUUUGUGUCUAGGUCUGCAAUUCUGUAUACUCCCUAGAUGUUAGCAGACCAUAGUUCUUGUAGGUAUAUUCUUUAAACAUUCCCCCAUGACCUAUAGAAGGCCAACUGAAGGUGAUCUACAAACAAAAUUUUAUUCCAUGUUGAUGAAGAAUUCCGCUCCUUUCCAUAUGGACUAAAGAACUGCCUUAGGCAUUUGAUCAAAUUAUCUAUCACAUACCUCCAAGGAUAUUGAACUCAAAUUAUCCAUGUCAUCCUGAGGAGAUUGAGAUUUGAUUGAAAGAGGCCAGAUUAUCCGCACCUCCUAUGACAUGCAGAAACUAAAAAAUAGUUGUUUGGUUUUACAAACCAUCUUUGGAACUCUCUGUCAACUUCUUUUAAGGCUGUGUUUGGUUCACAGAAUUUAAAUUCCUGGGAGACCACACCGAGAGAGAAGUGGGAAGUGCAAAAUGGGAAGAUAAAGAGAGGCCGAGGGAGCAGAAAAGCGGAUUAAAAAGAGUUCGGUAAACAUUAUAUACAGGCUGACGGAGAUAUGAUCGAAGUAGUUUCAGGAUCUGGUUUCCUUGAUUAUUAGAGAGGAAGCCUCUUUCCGUCAAUCUCUUUUUGACGAUGAACUUAUAUUCCGUUGUAUUCCCUAAAAUGUAGCAAACACAGCAUAAGGACCCGAAUUUGAGUGAGAUGUUAUGUAGUGAAGAAAUAUUAAUCACUACCAUCUGCUUUACUACCUCGUAUAUAUUUGGGCAUUUGGCGCUCUCACUUAGAUUCUUGAUCAUUAUGAUAAAGUACACCAAUUUACUAAGUUUUGUUACAUCUCUGACUUAUACCUACUUCGUGUAUUAGCAAUUGUCAAAUUUAUUUAUUUCAGCCCCUGAAUUUUUUUCAUUAAUGUGUUUUUGUUGGAAUUUUUUUCAUUAAUGUGUUUUUGUUGGAACAUGUCUCUAUCUCAUCCAAUAUCUACCUCUUCGGUUGAGAAUUCACUGCUUUUAGAUUUACAUCUGUUUGUUAAACUGAUCAUAUUCAGAAGAAACCGAGGAAAAAGAUCAUAUUCAGAAGAAUUAUGUGAUAUCUUUGAAACUUCAUUCAAGAACUCAAAUGAUAGAUAGGAGUUAAGAAGAGGGAGAUAAAGAGUGUGUGAGAGGGAGAUAAAAAGGUGUAGUGGCUAUUGAUGGAGAUGUUGCUAAGGUAGGUAAUUAUUAAUGAUUUUAACCCCCCAAGGUGAUAAACCGAGACUUAUCUAUAUUUCCAUUUUUUGGUGAUAUAAUCUACGAUUAAAAACUUAUAUUAGGAUUCUCAGCAGAAGCGUCCAACCAUGGCACAUCCACUCUGUCUCUCUCAUCCAUCGAUAUCUUGAUUACUUGAGUGAUACUCAUAUAGUUUACUCAAUUCUUUUGGGAUAUAAGAAAUAGGUUGGCGCAUGACAUGGCAAAUCCGCAGAACAGGUAGAUAUGGAAUAUAAAAAUGUACAUGUUCAAAUAGAACUAGACAUUAUUGAAGGAAGCUUGAGAAUGGAAGAAGUUGACAAGGAAAAGUGUGAGCUUGCGGUGAAAUUUUAGGCGGAGAUGGAAACCUUAUGUAAAAUGAAGAACUGUUAUUAUAGAGAUGAUCAGUAACCUAAUUGAGAGAGUUGAAUCUUGUUAGGGUGUAGUGAAACUGUUAAAGGCCUUGAUGUUCACUUUGUAAUGAUUGAAUUGGUAAGGCUGUUUAAGAAUCAAUAAUUCAAACGACAAAUAUAUGGAUGAUGAAAUCACGUAAGUGCUAGAAGAGUGCUAUUUUAUCUGUUUUGUUAUGAGAAUCUUGCUUAGUUAUUUAUUAAUUUAUUUAUACUUUUGUUUCGUCACUUGCCCAGUUCUGUUUGUGAUCACUGCCAGCUUCUUUCAAAAUAUUUCCUUUGCAGCCAAUUUGAGUGUUUUUGUUUUCCCCAGUGUCAUUUUGAUAUAUACAAACCAAAGCAUGUGUUGAUGAUCAAUUUUAGAGCUGAUUUUGUAUUGCAGAGAGGCAUUAAUGCCGAGGAGGGUUCAUUAUCUGCCUUGAUCAGUCCUCAAGGUCAUAGUAAUAGUUAUUCUGGUCUGUUCAUGGUCAUUCUUAUAAUGUUAGAAGAGAAAUGAAUCCCUUUACAGUAAGAGCCAAGUUUUCUGAUGUAAGAUCUGUUCCCAUGUAGAGAAGCCGUUACAAAUUAUAUUUCCUGUCUUAGCUCCAUCUGCGUGUGUUACUUUAUACCCCAUGUGAACUACUUUAUAAAAGUUUAAUAUGAUGAUGAUAAGUAUCUUAUGACCUAAGUUAUCACACCCUUUUACUUUUUUCUGUUGCAGGUGGCAGCCACUGGUGACUCUCUGGAUUAGGUUAAUAUUUUGUACUGUAUGUAAAACUCUUAAUUAAGGUCCACAGUGAACCAAUGUGUUAUUGUAAAGGAAGUGAGAUGAUUCAUUUCUGUUUAUGUAUAGGUUCAUCUGUAUCAUACAAUCCUUUCCUAUUUAUGUAUGAAACAAUUUUAUAUUUAUGUAAGGACUAUAUGUACACGACUACAUGAGCUAAGCAAAAGUAUCCACCCUCUGGUUUUAAUGGGUUUUAAUGAUAGGUUUGAAUGAUUUGGGGACCAA
rnacentral:lncRNA from 1 species